rnacentral:misc_RNA from 1 species
AACGGAGGGGCCCAGCGUUAUUCUUAGUGAUUUGGCGUAAAGGGUACGUAGACGGCCUUUGUAAUGUCGCGUUAGACUCCAUAGUGAAGAUAUGGUAUGAGCGGGACUCGAUUCAAAUGGCUUUGAGUAAGGGGGAUGACGGUAGUAUUUUUAAAGUAGGAGUGGCAUCCAACGAUUUUAAAAAGACUCCCAGUAGCGAAGGCGACCGUCAACUCCAGGACUGACGUUGAGGUACGAAGGCGUGGGGAGCAAACGGG